rnacentral:rRNA from 1 species
GUCGAGCGAGCUUGCCUAGAUGAUUUUAGUGCUUGCACUAAAUGAAACUAGAUACAAGCGAGCGGCGGACGGGUGAGUAACACGUGGGUAACCUGCCCAAGAGACUGGGAUAACACCUGGAAACAGAUGCUAAUACCGGAUAACAACACUAGACGCAUGUCUAGAGUUUGAAAGAUGGUUCUGCUAUCACUCUUGGAUGGACCUGCGGUGCAUUAGCUAGUUGGUAAGGUAACGGCUUACCAAGGCAAUGAUGCAUAGCCGAGUUGAGAGACUGAUCGGCCACAUUGGGACUGAGACACGGCCCAAACUCCUACGGGAGGCAGCAGUAGGGAAUCUUCCACAAUGGACGAAAGUCUGAUGGAGCAACGCCGCGUGAGUGAAGAAGGGUUUCGGCUCGUAAAGCUCUGUUGGUAGUGAAGAAAGAUAGAGGUAGUAACUGGCCUUUAUUUGACGGUAAUUACUUAGAAAGUCACGGCUAACUACGUGCCAGCAGCCGCGGUAAUACGUAGGUGGCAAGCGUUGUCCGGAUUUAUUGGGCGUAAAGCGAGUGCAGGCGGUUCAAUAAGUCUGAUGUGAAAGCCUUCGGCUCAACCGGAGAAUUGCAUCAGAAACUGUUGAACUUGAGUGCAGAAGAGGAGAGUGGAACUCCAUGUGUAGCGGUGGAAUGCGUAGAUAUAUGGAAGAACACCAGUGGCGAAGGCGGCUCUCUGGUCUGCAACUGACGCUGAGGCUCGAAAGCAUGGGUAGCGAACAGGAUUAGAUACCCUGGUAGUCCAUGCCGUAAACGAU